GUGUCAGCCGCCGCGGUAAUACAGAGGGUGCGAGCGUUAAUCGGAUUUACUGGGCGUAAAGCGUGCGUAGGCGGCUUUUUAAGUCGGAUGUGAAAUCCCUGAGCUUAACUUAGGAAUUGCAUUCGAUACUGGGAAGCUAGAGUAUGGGAGAGGAUGGUAGAAUUCCAGGUGUAGCGGUGAAAUGCGUAGUGAUCUGGAGGAAUACCGAUGGCGAAGGCAGCCAUCUGGCCUAAUACUGACGCUGAGGUACGAAAGCACGGGGAGCAAACAGGAUUAGAUACCCCCGUAGUCC
rnacentral:rRNA from 1 species